GAAGGGAUCAGCAGCCACAAGUGCUUUUCGUCCGGCUGAACCUAGAAAACCCUUGGAGAUGUCAGUAGGUAUGGCUAAUAUCUCAGUCUCUAAUGCAGCUGUGGUCAAGCCCAGUCGUCCACCAUUGGACUUUGACUUGAAUGUUCCAGAUGAAAGAAUCCUUGAGGAUUUGGCUUCUCGAGGUUCUGCUCGGGGUUCAGCUUCUGUGUUUGACCUUUCAAAUGAUCAUAAUCUAUCACAUGACAAAAUAAUGGGUUCUGCAGCUGUUCGGAGCUCUGGGGGACUGGACCUUGAUUUGAAUAGAGUGGAGGAGCCCAGUGAUAUAGGUAAUCAUUUAGCAAGUAAUGGUUGUAGGAUGGAUGUGCAUCUUCAGGCAGUAAAAUCAUCAUCAGUUACUGUUCUUAAUGGUGAGUCAAGUGUACACAGGGAUUUUGAUUUGAAUGAUGGGCCUCGUGUGGAUGAGGGGACUGCUGAACGAUCUCCAUUUGGCCAGCCGACCAGGAAUAAUACACCGACCCAACCAUCAUCUGUUUUUGGUCUUAGGCUAAACAAUAGUGAAAUGGGUAACUUCUCUUCAUGGUUUCCUCAAGGGAAUCCCUAUCCAGCUGUUGCCAUUCAGUCUUUGUUGCCCGAUAGAGAGCAGUCUUUUUCAAUGGUCACCCCUGGUGGGCCUCAACGGAUGUUGGCUCCCCCUACUGGCAGCACACCAUUUAAUCCUGAUGUCUACAGUGGGCCAGUGUUAUCAUCUGCUCCAGCAGUUCCCUUUCCGGCUUCACCAUUUCAAUGUCCUGUCUUGCCUUUUGGGACCAAUUUUCCUCUACCAUCAGCCACAUUUUCAGUUGGUUCAACAACAUAUCUGGAUUCAUCUUCUGGUGGGAGACUUUGCUUUCCCACGGUGCAUUCUCAAGUAUUAGCUUCUGCUGGUGCGGUUCCAUCUCAUUAUCCAAGGCCUUUUGUUGUUAGCCUCCAGGAUAAUAACAAUAUUAGUGCCUCUGAGAGUAGUAGGAAAUGGGGAAGGCAAGGUUUAGACCUCAAUGCAGGGCCUUUGGGCCCAGAUUUGGACGGGAGAGAUGAGACAGCUGCUCUAGCAUCAAGGCAAUUAUCCGUUGCCAGUUCACAGGCCACUGCAGAGGAACAGUCGAGGAUGUUUCAAGUGGCAGGCAGUGGCAUUUUGAAGAGGAAGGAGCCAGAGGGUAGCUGGGAAGGUUAUAAGCAAUCCUCAUGGCAGUAGAGAUGCUUGGCAGCACAAUCCAGUAAUCCAUGAGGCCUUGCUCUUAGAUUGAUACUGGCUAACUUCCAGAGCUCGUCAUCUAACUCUUGCUCUUCAAGGAUGGGUGGUAAGUGAGUUAU
rnacentral:misc_RNA from 1 species